GCAUUGAUGGUUCAGAGGUGGAAUUCUUGCCUUCUGUGCAAGAGACCUGGUUUCGAUUCCUGGCCAGUGCA
rnacentral:tRNA from 1 species